rnacentral:rRNA from 1 species
UACGUAGGGACCGAGCGUUGUCCGGAUUCAUUGGGCGUAAAGAGCUCGUAGGCGGCUGUUCAAGUCGAACGUGAAAACUCGGGGCUCAACUCCGAGCCUGCGUUCGAUACUGGACGGCUAGAGUCUGGUAGGGGGAUCUGGAAUUCCUGGUGUAGCGGUGGAAUGCGCAGAUAUCGUAAGGAAGACCAGUGGCGAAGGCGGGUCUCUGGACAGUUCCUGACGCUGAAGCACGAAGGCCAGGGGAGCAAACGGG